rnacentral:tRNA from 1 species
GGCCCCGUAGUUCAACGGAUAGAACGAGCGUUUCCUAAACGCUAAAUGUGGUUUCGAUUACCGCCGGGGCUACAA